rnacentral:lncRNA from 1 species
CGGGUGCCAUAGAAGAGAGAUUGGCUGUGGAAUCCUAUUUCCUUAAUAAAGAUAAUAUAUAAUAUAGUAGGGGCCAAGUAACAUAGUAAGUGUAGCGGCAGAUGUUCUCUCCUUGCUCGGUUCUCCAUUUCUUCUUUGCUUAACAUAAGCAGAUGAACCUACCUCUGCUCUGUCCUGUGUGCGCCUUAUGUACUCGUCCCAUUCUUCUACUUACUAGCGAACACAAGACUUGGUUCUAAUUUGAUUAAUACCUAUCGAAACUCCUGCUCUGCUGACCACUCCUCUGUCAACUAACUACUAAAGAUUCCACAGCUUAUGAGGAAUUAACCAGUAAAGCCUAAUCCCUUUUUCGAUACCAGCUCAACAAGCAAAGGCUUUCUAACUAACAAGGGAACUAGGAGCGAGGGUUGGAGAAGAUACCCUGACUGCCUCCACUGGAAGUUAAGAACCAACUAUUCAGAGUCUAGGUAAGUCUACUAAAGCAUAAGCUAUAUCCGGACAAGAAAAGAGUUCAGUCGGAGUCUAGGUAAGUCAACUAGUUCAACCCUGACUUAUUAAGGCUGCUUGUCUACUCUCUUUGUCCGUUAGUAGUUGCUUCGCUGAGUUGGAGAAAUAAUCUAGUAGGAACAGUAGGAGUGAGUUCAAAAGUCGUAUUAUUAUAGUAGAGUUGCCAGCAGAGGAGUGAAAGAGAAUAGUCUUUGUAUCGGAGUGACAAUAGUCCAAUUCGGAGCUAAAGAAAGGGUCACUAGUCAAGGAGUGAAAGAGUUCAGUUGGUAUCUUAGUCAAGGAGUGAAAGAGUUAAGGGAGUUAAUUAUAGGAGUGAAAGAGCAAAAGAAUAGCAGUAAAGAGUAGUAAACUAUACAACUCCACUACUUGUUUCAUGGUAGGCAUAAAAUCCAGGGUAAUAGGAGUCUCAAAGAGGGCCACAAGAGGAUCGUUUUUUAGUGACUUGGCCGGGUAUGCAAAUGCUAGUUACGUUCUUGUGUUCUCGUAUCUAGAAUCAGAGAACUAACGUAAGGCAGAGGACUAGGCGGAGGCAGUAUAAAGGUUCGGUUCAGUUCCAAGAAAGUAUACAUCGACAACAGAAGAUGCUUGAGCGCCGAUGUAAAGGAUUAGUGACUAACCAGAGCAGAGGUGUGUUACCGACCCCGAACAAUACUGGAAUCUGGAACAACACUUUGAGAAUCAAUUCUAUCCAAAGCUUCUUAUCUUGAAACUGAAACUACACUUUAUGAAUCAAGUGAACUUGAAUUGAGGCACCUAGGAAAGUGUAAACCUAUAUAUAGUGAGCCGGAAAGUAAGCGUUAGCACUCAGACGAAAGAAAAGAGAAUGGAUUUAGGCACAAACAACUCACGUAAGCAUCUUGAAACCGAGAGUAACCCUUAGCACAAGGGCGAAAUCAUUUAAUAUGCGCACAACUACACUAAUCUAAUUGAAGAAAAUGGUAGUAUCUUGGCCUCUCUACAUCUGUUUAUCCUUAAGCUCCCUUUAAGUGCCUUUCCUU